GCCUGCCUGGCUCAGUGGGUGGAGCAUGCGGUUCUUGAUCUUGGGGUUGUAGGUUUGAGCCCUAUGGUGGGUG
rnacentral:tRNA from 1 species